AGUACAUCCUGUGGUUAAUGGCAUGGUAUUGAGCAUUGCAUCCAUGUAUGUCUAGCAUUCCUUGGAUCCCUGGAGAAUGCUACUUGUUGAAGAUUUGGAUGUACCAAAGCCAGAUGUAUGCUCAGAAGACAUCUAGUUGGGCACACUGCUGGUGUCUGGGGAAUGACAUGGCAGGAAAUGAAUCUAAUCAACCUGAAUCCGAGGUUUUGCUUAUGCUAUUGCGAAGCAUUUCUUCAUGAAGACCAAUCGACUUGCUACUCAUUUUUGGAGACGGGGGUGGACUCCAGAGACUAGGUUACUAAAUAAGAAAUAAAAAGCUAAACAUGACAGAAGUGACUCAGAGAUAAGGAAGCUUCUGAAUUAGCCUGGGGGUGCUGUUCUAGCUCUUCACUGUCAACCAUGUUGAAGUUUACUGCUGUAGCUAAAGCAUAUAUGCCAAAAUAGUCUCUCGUCCCUGCAUCUCACUGUGACCUCAUCCCAGUCCCCACACCCAGAUACAGCUUGGCUGCAGCUGUGGGGAAAAGAUAAAACCAUUCCUGGAUUCUGAUAUGUUGGAGGCCAGAAUAGCCUGUGAGAAGAAAAGCCAGCAUACCCUGACCAUCAAUACAUUAAUAUUUGAGACCGCAGGUGUUGAGGUCUUCAUUCCAUGCUGAGAAGUGUUUCCCUCCAUGGAGACUGGAAACCCCUUGAGCAGAUGCUCUGACCCUGUGCUCAGUGCCCAAGCAACAGCUAACAGGUGGAUGGAAACACGGGCGGUGCAGACGGCUCAGAGGCUAAGGGUGCUGCUUCAGGCCUAAAAAAACCUGGCUUUGGUUCCUGGAAUUUUCAUGACAGGAGGAGAGAGCCAACUUCCACAGGUUGUCCUCCCCC